GCGCGCCGCUUCGACUUCCCCGGCCAAAUCCGGCCACCAAUUGGACCGGGUCUUGUGUCCAAAAUCAUCUACUCGGCGAGAGCUUUCCAUAGACACCAAGAACGCCGAAAUCCAUCGAGCGGAUUGUCCGAUUUUUGCUCGGGAAGAUUUUAGCCCAUUUCGACUUUUGGGCUAGAUUUCUCGAAAAUCGUGAAUCCCACGAGGAAACCGAGGCCACCAGCACGCUCCAUUCGUCGAGAGCUUCGCAACGACAUAAAUUUUGAAUUUUUCCGACACCGUUUUUCGGUAUCCUCGAUUCGCGGAAAUUCGACAGUUGACCGGGUCUGCAAAUUUCGGGCCAGACAGACCCGUUACCGGAAAAGUCCCCGAAUUGGACCGAGGUUUUGGCUAGCCCCCCAUUGUCAGACGUCCCGAGCGCGUUCCCGAAGUCGGAAUCGGCAAAGGUGAGCCGGGACAGCCUUCUUCCUCCGCCCAGCCGCCACAGUAAUUUGUCGUCAAGUCUGCUACAGGAGGAUUUUAUUUUGGUUAACCUGCUUUUCUCCCUCGCAGGUCAAUUAUUACUGUUUGUAUAAACUUGUUAAAUCUUAGAAUUUCCGCAUGUGUUAGAAAUGUUAUUUGAUUUGGGUCUGUAAACUAAAUUAUUAUUUUGGGACCUGUAAACUUAAUAUGCUAUGCAUGUUUGAUGGAUUGGAUGAGGGAGCUGAGCUCCCAUUUAUUAUUAUGUUGAUGAGUAUGUGGAGGGUGAGCUGAGCUCCCCAAUUGACUAUAUAUUGUGUUUACAGGUCGGGUGAGUCGAAAACUCCCCGUUGGUAAGUCCAUUUU